UACAGAGGUCCCAAGCGUUGUUCGGAUUCAUUGGGCGUAAAGGGUGCGUAGGCGGCGCGGUAAGUCGGGUGUGAAAUCUCGGGGCUUAACUCCGAAACUGCAUUCGAUACUGCCGUGCUUGAGGACUGGAGAGGAGACUGGAAUUUACGGUGUAGCGGUGAAAUGCGUAGAUAUCGUAAGGAACACCAGUGGCGAAGGCGGCUCACUGGCCCGAUACUGACGCUGAGGCACGAAAGCGUGGGGAGCAAACAGG
rnacentral:rRNA from 1 species